AUUCCCGUCAAGGUGUUUUCAGAGGGUAGAAGUAGGCAUACGAAGAAAAAAAGCAUUGGGGGGUGGAAACUAAAUACCUCUGGUUUUUAAACCGCUGUAAUUCUACCAACAAAGAGAAGGGGUCCGAGACUGUUUUAGCUGAACUGAAAUGCGUUUUUAAUCAAAUACAUUCGUUUUGGAUUUUAAACCAGCGUGUUUUUUUUUCAUGCAAGUGAGUAAACUUUCUGAGGGGCGGGUUUACUUUUUGCCCCAGUCUGUCUAUUCGCGUCAAGCAGGCGUCACCACCCCAUUUUUGGGGAGUUGGUGCGCUCCUUACCUCAAACUCAACUGGAUGGAAAUCCGUGGACACCAAAAGUCCCGAGUUAUUUCUGGAGCUUUGUACUGGGUUGAAGGAGGAUAAAAAAGCGGGGGGGGUGUUACUUUUCACCAAUUGUCAUGAUAAUUGUUGUCCAUAGAGAAAUAAGGAAAAAUCCUGCUGUUAUUUUCGCUGGAUGGAACUCAGUAAAAAGGUUACGCUCUGAGUCUGGGUAAAUCCUGCUUCUUGCGCUUCAACCAUCCAGAGGAGGCCAGCCGUAUGAACAGCAUGCUGCCUCUGAAGACCCCUGUCUCACCCCUGGGCUACAGCACAGUCUCCACCCACCACGUCUGUGACCUCACCCACGUCGAUGUGGUCGGCCUAUCAGGAACAGGCUAGGCGCUUCUACGGCUCUGAUCGUCCUCCUCUCUCUGGCAAAGCUGCCGCCCCUCACUCCCCCUCUCGGCGCUCUGACCCCCCUUCCUCCCGAACCUCCAUGACCCGGAAACAAUCAUACCAAUCACAGGACAGCCUGCUCAUCUCCCCUGGCAAUGGGCGACGCCCACUAAACCCAAACUCCUCCCCCCUGUUGUCGAUGCGGAACUGUGGAGGUUCCUCUAACUCAGUGGCCGGUGGUGAUAGCCUCUCCUCUCCUCCACCCUCAUCCCUCUUUCCAACUAGUGGAGCAGCCAGCAUGCCCUCCAGUCCCCGCCUGGGACUACGAAGCCACGGCAACCAUGAGCCGGUGCCUAGCAACCGAACCAGGAAGUACUCUGCAGGUUCUAUAGGCGGCAUAAUGGAAAGUCACAGCUGCUCACUGCCCCGCCUCUGCCCCUCAUCACCUCGUUCCCAUGACAACGGAGCCCUGGCCCUGUUUUCCCUCCCCCUGACCUCUAAUCCUCUACGCAACUCCUCUCACAACAAUAGCCAAAACCAUACCACAAACAACAACUACAAUCAUAACCAAAUCACUAACUUCACCUACAGCCAGGCUCAAAACAUGAACCGGAACCAAGGAGAGGGGGUGGAAUCCAUCUCUCUCUCCAUCCCUGAAUCUCCCACCCAGGCCCCUCCAGACGUGACCUCACCGUCCCUAUCAGGGGGCUCUUCCAGCCCCGGUGUGGCCAAGAUACUCAGCGUCACCUCCACCAGCUCCACCUCCAGCCUUCAGGAGCCAAAGAGGUCAGCCAGCCGAGGAGCCUCCCCUGGACCAGAGCUCUUUCUGGGGGAGAGGCGGAGAGAGCACAGGGGGGGAAGACUGGAGCCUGUGCUAGGAUUAGAGGAACGAAGGCAGUCAUUUGGAAAGGGAGGG
ensembl:lncRNA